CCUAAAGGGAAGCCAGAGAAGGGCUCUUCAUCAGGAACUGUAGUAGCAAGACUAGGAGUAACGGGUACAAAUAGAAAGAUGAGAAAUUUAGGUUAGAUAAUAAUAAUAUUUUUUUUUAAUUUUGAGACACCAAAACAGGUUGCUGUGGGAGGCUGUGGAUGCCCCAGCCCUGGCAGUGCUUGAUGCUAAUUUGGAGCGCCUGCUGGCAAAUCAGCAGCAUGUCGGAAAGGGUUGAAGAACAUGAAGAUAUACAAGUGUGAAUUUCAUGAAGUCUGUUGCUCCCUCUAUGUUAUAUAUUUUUGGCCAGUAAAACAAUACUCCUCUCUGCACAAGAGCCUCACAUCCUCGUUCCUGAUUGCGACUUCAGGAUUCUUCCAUUAAACUGUGACAGAACUUAAAUUCAAGCUCCUUAUCUUGCAAUUAGGAAAUGUCUGUUCUGUAAUCAAGCAGUCAAAGGAAACGAUGUGUGUGCAAGCACUGGCAAGAGGAGAGGACACAUUUUUGACUCUUGUGUUCAUUCAUCGCGCCAGGUACACGUUAGUUCACUUCAAGGGAGCUGACAUUUGGGCUCAGCGUUCUUCCUUCAGUAAAACGAUAUUCUGCCUUUAUGUUUCACUGUAUUUCAGAAUGAAUUUAUCUUCACAGAUUUUCUUAAACUGCCUGAUUUUUUUGUAAUAUGAUUUUUGAUGGGGAAGGAGGAGUGGAGGAGAUGUCUCUACAUCAGAUCAUAUCCGCACUACGAUACACAGUUGGCAGGU